rnacentral:rRNA from 1 species
AUGGCUCACACCUGCAAUGCUCCACGACCUUUAGUUCGUCAAAUAUUCAAUUCUAAAUAUGAUAAUUACAGUUCGGCAGAUGAGGUUUCUCGCGUCUCGUAUGCUGACUUACCAGACCAAAUCUCAUCGAGCUCUUCCACAUUCUGUGCAAGCAUGUACUCAUCAUCGUCGACGAACUCCAAAUUAUGCCGGCAAACCAGCGGUUUGCCUUUCUUGACUCAUCCUCCUAAAUGUGAGCAGCAACAAUUUUUAGCAGCGCAAUCAUCAUUCUCUGCUCUGUUAUUUGCUGCUCAUCCCAGCAAUGGUGGUCAAGGUGAUGAUGAACAUUCAUGUGAUCUCAAGGACUUCCUUAACCUAUGUGGAAAUGCUUCUAACACUAGCUUCCACCGAGGAGGCAAUGCCCUGGCUUUUAGUGAGCAGCUAGAGUUUUAG